rnacentral:rRNA from 1 species
GGAACAACUAUUGGAAACGAUAGCUAAUACCAAAUAUUCCCUUCGGGGGAAAGAUUUAUCGCCUUUAGAUGAGCCCGCGUCGGAUUAGCUUGUUGGUAGGGUAAAGGCCUACCAAGGCUACGAUCCGUAGCUGGUCUGAGAGGAUGAUCAGCAAGAUUGGGACUGAGACACGGCCCAGACUCCUACGGGAGGCAGCAGUGGGGAAUAUUGCGCAAUGGGGGAAACCCUGACGCAGCGAUGCCGCGUGAGUGAAGAAGGCCCUAGGGUUGUAAAACUCUUUCACCGGUGAAGAUAAUGACGGUAGCCGAAGAAGAAGCCCC